CCUACGGGGUGCAGCAGUGGGGAAUAUUGGACAAUGGGCGAAAGCCUGAUCCAGCCAUGCCGCGUGUGUGAAGAAGGCCUUCGGGUUGUAAAGCACUUUCAGUGGGGAAGAAAGCCUUGGGGCUAAUACCCUCGAGGAAGGACAUCACCAACAGAAGAAGCACCGGCUAACUCCGUGCCAGCAGCCGCGGUAAUACGGAGGGUGCGAGCGUUAAUCGGAAUUACUGGGCGUAAAGCGCGCGUAGGCGGUCUGAUAAGCCGGUUGUGAAAGCCCCGGGCUCAACCUGGGAACGGCAUCCGGAACUGUCAGGCUAGAGUGCAGGAGAGGAAAGUAGAAUUCCCGGUGUAGCGGUGAAAUGCGUAGAGAUCGGGAGGAAUACCAGUGGCGAAGGCGGCCUUCUGGACUGACACUGACGCUGAGGUGCGAAAGCGUGGGUAGCAAACAGGAUUAGAUACCCCUGUAGUC
rnacentral:rRNA from 1 species